rnacentral:lncRNA from 10 species
UGAGAUCUUCUAUAUAAUCCUUUCACUAGCAUACUCUUUCUACAUAAUGGAUAAUUUACUUAAAAAGCAAACCCCUAUAUUUUGAAACUUAAUUUUAGAAAUAGAAAAGAUUACUGGCAGCCAAACAAAGUAUUUACUCAGGUGCCUCGUAAACAUGAUUUGGCAUCCAAAACCUGGAUAUGACUUAGAGAGGAGCUCACACCUUUGAACAAACUGUGCUUUUCUAAUCCUGCACCUUUAUCUGAGCCAAAGCCCCAGGUCAGGGCUAGGAAAGUCAAGAAAUAGGAAGGAAAUCGGUCAGUUUUCUAUCAUCAUUGGUUGGGCUUGAAAGUGUAACAAGAGGUUAAAAUAGAAGUUCUAGCUGAAGCACAAAGAAAGUAGAAACAACACAUCAAAGUGAGGGAUUUAUAAAGCAGGAGACUGAAAACCAGCUGGUGACUCUUGAAUUCCUCACCCUUAUUGAGAGUAUAAAAGGCUUAUAGCCCUCACCCUUUCACCUCAAAUCAAGAGGGAAGGGUUUUAGAAACACAACUUGGAGAGCUUAAUAUGUAUCCCUGAAGUUUGAGGAAAGGGGACGUAGUGUACUGACUUCUGCCUGGAAAGUCUAACAGGUGGGAGAUUAAUUGACUGCAAUGAAGGAGAAAGCCAAUGACAGGUUGCUUCUUGACUGGAAUUGUUCAGCACUCCAGAGGCUGUCAGGGAAAGGAUGUGAGCAUGCUGCCUGGAAUCUGAUGUGGCUCAGCUGUAGGACAAAGAUAGUGUGUUUUCUUAAGUUCUGACCAAAUGAACCACCUUAAGAGACAAAGAUCACUCAGCAAGGAAAGCUGAAGAUGCUAUGAGAUGCCAGAGGUUGGGGAAGGAGCAAACAACCAGCUGGAAUGGAUAUGCCUUUUCUCAAAGAAAAUUGCAAGUGGAAGAAUUCCAGCCAUGGGGUCUCCAAAGCAUCCGUGAAACUGUUCCACAAGACAAGGAUGGAUGACUGAAUGCCAAACCCAGAGAGCAGUGAAGCUAAAUCAACUCAAUCAUUUCAGUGAAGAAAGAAAUCUCCUGUCCUUUCCUGUCCCUGAACUCCAUGAUGAAGGGCCAUGUGCUGUAGGUAGCAAAACAGGGGAGAAAGAAUUUCAGUUUUCCUUUUCCCUUGAAAUUUUCUAGCUAAAUCAGUCCGAAAUGUGGAAGGAAAAAGCAUGAAGUUUUUUAUUUUUAUUUUUUGAGACUGAGUCUUGCUCUGUUGCCCAGGCUGGAGUGCAGUGGUGUGGUCUUGGCUCACUGCAACCUCCUCUUCUCGAGUUCAAAUGAUUCUCCUGCCUCUGCCUCCCGAGUAGCUGGAAUUACAGCCGUGCACCACCAUGCCCAGCUAAUUUUUAUAUUUUUAGUAGAAACAGGUUUCACCAUGUUGGCCAGGCUGGUAAUGAACUCCUGACUUCAGGUGUCUGCCAGCCUUGGCCUCCCAAAGUGCUGGAAUUACAGGCAUGAGCCACCACACCUGGCCACAUGAAAGCAUGAAAUUUAAUGCAGAUAGAUUUACCUAUCAUAUAAAAAUGGAAAACCGAAUUACUAAGUGGAACUGAUAUUUUGUGAUCCAGGAAUGACCAUGUCUGAACUUUCAUUUGAGGGGAAAAAGGAUAAUUAACACCAUUGAACAAAUUUAAAGGGAGAAUGGAAGACAAAGUAAAGUUGUUUUAUGUUUACAUACAGCUGUGCUAUUAAGAAAAGCUACCGAUUUUUAUUUUUUGUCUCGUACAAAUUUUUCUCAUUAAAGUUAUACAACCAACAAAAAUAGAUUUGUAUCUUCUUUUCUACUAUGAGUAUUGAUUAUUUUUAUCUCAUUGCAUUUGCUUGGACCUUCUCAAGAAUAUGGCAAAUAAUAAUAGUUAUACUAGGCAUCCUUGUCAAGUUCUGAUUUUAAUUGAAGAGGUUUUAGUGUUUCACCACUAGGAAUACUAUGUGCUUUUGGUUUCAAACUAGGCUUUAUUAAAUUUUAGUAUUUUAUUCCAGUUUUUAGUUUCUGUUUUCUAAUUUUCUUAUAAACAAUAAAACAAUUAUGUCUGUUGAAUUUGAUUGGAUGUCUUAUUUGUAACUAUCUGAUGACAUUUUAGUAUUGAUUAAUCAAAAAAUAUUUUCCUUUAGUUUAUUUUUUGAUUUUGCAUUAUGUUGAUAAAUUUCCUAGUAUUGAAUAACCUUGGUAUUCUUAGAACAUUCCUAACUUAGUAAUAAUAUAUAUUUUGGUACAUUGUUUGAUUAUAUUUGCUAAUAUUUACCUUUUUCUCCCCCCUACAGGCAUUUAGUGAAAUUGGUCCAUAGUUUUAUUUUCUUCUGCUAAUGCUAUGCUGAGUUAAUAAAAUGAAUUGAGAAGCACUCACCUUUUUCUGUGGUCUGGAAUAAGUAACACUGAAAUAAUCUGUUCUUAAUACAUACGAUGAAAUACUUACAAAUGUGCAUUAUUGUGGUGACUUUUAAAAUAGUACAUGUUUAAUUACCUUUGAAGAUGCUAACGUAGCAAUUAAAAAUGUUUUUUCAUUUAUGAGUCAAUUUGAAUAAUUAUGGUUUUCUAGAAUAACAUUCAUUUUCUCCAAGUUUCAAAGUUUGUUUGCAAUGGACAUGCAUAUUUUAUUCUCUAAGAAAAAAAUUUCUCAUUUAUCUAUGAUUAUGCCACAUUCUCAUUUCUAAU